CUCUGGGAUAGCUCAGUUGAUAGAGCAUGAAACUCUUAAUCGCAGGGUUGUGGGUUCAAGCCCCACUUUGGAGG